rnacentral:rRNA from 1 species
AGCGAACGCUGGCGGCAGGCUUAACACAUGCAAGUCGAGCGGGCCUUUCGGGGUCAGCGGCGGACGGGUGAGUAACGCGUGGGAACGUGCCCUCUGGUUCGGAAUAACUCAGGGAAACUUGAGCUAAUACCGGAUACGCCCUUUUGGGGAAAGGCUUGCUGCCGGAGGAUCGGCCCGCGUCUGAUUAGCUAGUUGGUGAGGUAACGGCUCACCAAGGCGACGAUCAGUAGCUGGUCUGAGAGGAUGAUCAGCCACACUGGGACUGAGACACGGCCCAGACUCCUACGGGAGGCAGCAGUGGGGAAUAUUGGACAAUGGGCGCAAGCCUGAUCCAGCCAUGCCGCGUGAGUGAUGAAGGCCCUAGGGUUGUAAAGCUCUUUUAUCCGGGACGAUAAUGACGGUACCGGAGGAAUAAGCCCCGGCUAACUUCGUG